rnacentral:tRNA from 1 species
UUAAUUUUAUUUUAAGAAGAAUUUAUCUUUUUGGAAGGUAAGGUUAAGGUUAAU